GCGGCUUUAGAGCGCAAAUCAAGGAUUCUGUGAGCAGACCGACUGGUUUCAGCCAAAGAAGCAGCAGGAGAAAGGGAAUUAAAAUAGAACUUGUCUAGUAAGUUGCUCACGAGCCAGUCAAGGAAAUCCGAUCUUUCAUGAACAAUUUGAAGGUCUUUCAUAACUUUUCUCACAUUUCGAAGUGAAGUAGGCGUCGAAUGAGUCUAGGUGAUGGGAGGCUGGUCCGGUUAGUCCUUCUCCAAUUAGCAUCUCGCCUGAUCGUCUGCUGAGUGAAUAGCAGCAAGUGCUAGUUCAAGUCAGUAAUCAUUUGAUUCGCGGGAUCUGUAACAAAACGAUAAUUAAUAUGUUUUGUUGGAGGAGGCAGUUAACCAAGGGCCUUUUUUCAGGGGUGAUGCCGGAUCCUAUUCAACAGAGAAUUCUGAAGCUGACUCGGGUAGUUGGCGACAGUACCUAAACUUAUCAUCAGAUAAAGAGGAAAAUGCCGACCCCUCUAAUGCCUUUCCGAUUCAAUCUUUAGCUGGCAUCAGCCUUUGUCCUAAGCUAGAAAAGGUAAAGCGUUAAUUGUAAGCCCCAACGAGAAAGGUAGUUGACUUGAUUAAGGGAAAGGUGAAUGAGUUGACUUGCUUAAAGGAAUUGACUUCCCAACCGGCUAAUGCUUCUAGAAAGGGUCUACGGGGAACCUUCUUCUCUUAUUUAAUUUUUUACGUUAACAGUUCUUAACCCCCAAUUCGGAAUCGGAAGACUCGAACGAGGAAUAAAACUUCCUUUCUUCACUUAUUAUCUAUUUUAACUUCUGAACCCUUCUUUGUUCUUUGGUCGAGUUACUCCGUAUUCCCUCACCCGAUCGCUCUAUAUUUUUACAUAUACCCUCUUUGGUCGAGAAUACAGAAUAUUCAUUCUCCCGAACCGAAGUAGCUUAGGGGCGGAGAUUCAGUAACAACUCCUUACCAGACAGACAAAGGGGGCUGGCGGGAAUAAAAAAUAGAAUAGGAGAACUCUUCGAUCAGAGGCAGAUUCCGAGUUGGUUAGCCUUACUUCUUAUCUUCUCCCUACUUAUACCCUUACCUUAGGUGGGUUGUGUUGUCCUUUAAAGAAUAGCUAUAGCCCAACGUUUAACGGGUAUCCAUCCCACGAACAAUCAAUCCUUUGGGACAUUCAACAUUCAACUCCAGUUACGACUUCCCCUCGGCCGGGCAUCUUCCCUCUUGCUUCGCUUUACUUUCUCACUGUGGACCAAUUCCUAUCGCUUAACUCGGAACUCCCUUAGUGCUUCACUUUCUUUAUUAGUAGGCUAAUCGAGAGGUCUAUGAAAUGCUAUACGG